CCAAGCGUCAAUCAGACGGCGAACCUGGGUUAAAAAGGCUUGGGAUUCUGGGUCCAUGUCUUUGGUGUUGACAUCCAUGAUUUUUGCGAUGCCAGGCUCACUCUCUGCUAAUUUCUCCAUCGCCUGUUUUUCCUCGAGGCGUGACAGAUAUGGCAGCCCCUCUACAAACGGUGCUUCCAUUCGGAAUCCAUUUUUCAUCAAAAACUGGACAGCUUUGUUUAUUCAGUAAAACCUCAUUCAUUGGUGGUGGAACAGUAAAAUUUGCCUGUUGAUAUGGGGAUACAAACCACGGCUUUGAUACGACCAUCGUCUUUCAACCCCUAAUUUUUCGUCAAGCACGGGAUUCAAGUGGAGGUUAUAAGGCCGUAACACAUAGGUUCCUAUUAUUCCUAUUUAGCAUCAAACCCAAAGUUUGGUCAACCGCGCACGAUCACUCUGACCAGUCUCCGUGUCCUCCCUUGCAAAGGUCAAGCCAAUUUGCAACACCUGAUAGGUCUCAGCUGCAUAUUUAACUUCCUCGUAUCUUGCCUGAAGAGUUUGUUUCUCUCCCCACAGAUCGCUUCCGGGAUUAGGGCCAGACUGUCUUGCGACGAUUCCGGAAAACUCUAGGUCUAGGGCAACGAAAGUGGACUCGGCCAGGUCAUUUAGUAGUCUAGGUAGAUGCUGGCUAAACGAUUGCAUUGUCACGUCCAUAUUUGAUAAACACGCAGGUUCAGAUAUGGAAAAUUGAGCAAAUGGGACACAGAAAGCCAGGGAGAGUUGGGGGUUCCUCAGGGCUCACUCAUGGAUUAAAAGGAAUGAGAAACCUAGGGGAAAUGAAAGAGAUUGAAUGAGAGAAAUGGAUGAAAAUGGAAACCAGUUUAGAACAUGUCAGUCUGUGUUCAGAACCCAGGAGAUAAGCAACACAAACAAGAGAUGGGGAUUGUCCUCUUCCUAUGUAAGAGGGGUUGUGAUGAUUUGGUAUUGUCGCUGGUUAAGAAGUCGCCCAGCAGUGUGACCUCAGUUUCCCACCAGAUCUAGCAGGAAGUGAUAAAAGAUCCUUUUGUCUGCACCACAAUUGCAGGCGAUCUUGGGCAGGAGACAAUGGAUUUGAAUUCUCUUGUUGUGGUAACUUAAAGACUAAAGAUGCAGGCGCCAGGCGUGGAUAAGUUACAGAGACAAAUGUCCCAAAUGUGAGUAGCUUCAGUCAAGCCGCCCUUUCCAGAGAGCUCCCUACCAUUGGGCUUCUUUGCUCUCUUCAAAGUUCAAACCACACGGUCUCUUGGUGAUCGACUAGGUCAGUCGUACAGACGGUGAGCGAGAGCGAAUGGGAAAAUCUAGCCCCGCUGUGUUUGCUCACACCUAUCCCCAGCAAGCUCUUACUGCGCAGAUCAGAUACCCCAUCCAGAUCAGAGGAAGUUGUGAUAUUCAAGUGCUUUACCGCUAGGCUAAACGGUGGAUUCUCUAUUUAGCACAGCUUUUAAGCUCAAUUUUCUUUCACGCCUUGAGGUCUAACAGAAACAGAACUUGACAACUGGUGACUUAGAACACUGAGUUCAAUCUGAGUUUUCAUCAAGACAAAUGCAUGAACAACUCAACAAAUUAGAGUCAGGAAAUUUCCAAAAUAGAAUAA
rnacentral:sRNA from 1 species